rnacentral:rRNA from 1 species
UAUCGGAAGGUGCGGCUGGAUCACCUCCUUUC